GUGGCUGUGGCUCAGGAGGUAGAGCGGGUCGUUCACAAACCAAAAGGUCAGUGGUUCGAUCCCCGGCUCCU